GAUGAACGCUGGCGGCGUGCCUAAUACAUGCAAGUCGAGCGAACAGACGAGGAGCUUGCUCCUCUGACGUUAGCGGCGGACGGGUGAGUAACACGUGGAUAACCUACCUAUAAGACUGGGAUAACUUCGGGAAACCGGAGCUAAUACCGGAUAAUAUGUUGAAUCGCAUGGUUCAACAGUGAAAGACGGUUUUGCUGUCACUUAUAGAUGGAUCCGCGCCGCAUUAGCUAGUUGGUAAGGUAACGGCUUACCAAGGCAACGAUGCGUAGCCGACCUGAGAGGGUGAUCGGCCACACUGGAACUGAGACACGGUCCAGACUCCUACGGGAGGCAGCAGUAGGGAAUCUUCCGCAAUGGGCGAAAGCCUGACGGAGCAACGCCGCGUGAGUGAAGAAGGUCUUCGGAUCGUAAAACUCUGUUAUUAGGGAAGAACAAAUGUGUAAGUAACUAUGCACGUCUUGACGGUACCUAAUCAGAAAGCCACGGCUAACUACGUG
rnacentral:rRNA from 1 species